CUCAUCUGAAGAGGCAGGCUGCUCCUUGUCUCAUCUUCCUCUCCCUCUCUGUAUUUCUCUUCCCCUCCUCCCUCCCCUUUACCCUUCUCUCAACAAAGCCCUCACUUGAACUCUGCCUGCAGGCGCAUUUGUCUCUGGCCCAUGGUCCUCACCAGCCAGGGCCCCUCCGGUGCCAUCUUACAAAAUCUGCCUGCUUAAAUGUGGUGCUUUGAUUACGGGUGAGCACCACCACAGAGAGAACCAUCCUUCUGUAUUUUGGAUUCCAGCAGAGGUAAUGACUCAUCAGGUGUGGGGAUGUGACGGAGACAUUUUACGGGUGACAGCAGUCUAUCAAGUAGUUCCUGUUUCAUCUUCAAGUCACAGAGGAGACAGGAGGCGAGGGACAGAUCUUACUGUGUGAACAGGGACGUUGAAAUAGGAGAAGAUGGAAAGGACAUAAAGACUUCCGGACACAAGCGCAGAAGGAAAACCACCAGAAUCCAAACCUGCUCAUUCCCUUUUCCCCCAGACUCAUUUGUGGAGAGCGUGGUUGGUGGACCGCUAAUUUAAAAGAAGUUUGAGCAGUGGUUCUCAACCUUCCUAAUGCUGCACUGCGACCCUUUGGUGCAGUCUCCCGCCAUAAAGAUAUUUUCGUUGCUACUUUAUAACUGUAAUUUUCCUGUUAUGAAUCGUAAUGCAAAUAUCUUGUGUUUUUCGUUGGUCUUUGGCGACCCCUGUGAAGGGGUUGUUCGACUUCAAAGGGGUCGGGACCCACAGGUUGAAAAAUGCUGAACAAGAGGUUCCAAAAAAAAAAAAAAG